UACAGAGGUCUCAACCGUUGUUCGGAUUCAUUGGGCGUAAAGGGUGCGUAGGCGGUCGCGUAAGUCAGGUGUGAAAUCUCAGGGCUCAACCCUGAAACUGCACUUGAUACUGCGUGGCUCGGGUACUGGAGAGGAGACUGGAAUUUACGGUGUAGCAGUGAAAUGCGUAGAUAUCGUAAGGAAGACCAGUGGCGAAGGCGAGUCUCUGGACGACUCCUGACACUGAGGCACGAAAGCUGGGGGAGCAAACAGG
rnacentral:rRNA from 1 species